rnacentral:misc_RNA from 1 species
AAGUCGUAACAAGGUCUCCGUUGGUGAACCAGCGGAGGGAUCAUUACAGAGUUAUCCAACUCCCAAACCCAUGUGAACUUAUCUCUUUGUUGCCUCGGCGCAAGCUACCCGGGACCUCGCGCCCCGGGCGGCCCGCCGGCGGACAAACCAAAACUCUUUAUGUAUACCCCCUCGCGGGUUUUUUUACUUCUGAGACUUUCUCGGCGCCCCUAGCGGGCGUUUCGAAAAUGAAUCAAAACUUUCAACAACGGAUCUCUUGGUUCUG